rnacentral:lncRNA from 1 species
ACGACAGUGACCAAUACUUGCAGAGGCUUUCCCCUGGUGGACCGGGUCUGCGGCCUUCAGGAACCUCCGAGGGUUACAGCUGCUGUAACAGAUCUGAAGGCGUCUGCCUUAAACCUGGAAACCAGGGAAACAUCUUCUCUAAAGUUUCAAGACUAAAGAGUUGGGAAGCGGACGUGGCUCAACUGAUAGAGCAUCGGCCUACCAUAUGGGAGGUCCAGGGUUCAAACCCCGGGCCUCCUGACCCAUGUGGAGCUGGCCCACGUGCAGUGCUGACGUGCGCAAGGAGUGCCCUGCCACGCAGGGGUGUCCCCCGCGUAGGGGAGCCCCACGCAAAAGGGGUGUGCCCUGCAAGAAGAGCCGCCCCACGUGAAAAAAGUGCAGCCCACCCAGGACUGGCUCAGCACACAGGGAGAGCUGACGCAGCAAGAUGAUGCAGCGACAACAAAAAGAGAUGCAGUAUCCCGGUGCCACCUAUGGUGCAAAUGGACACAGAAGAACACACAACGAGUGGACACAGAGAGUGGACAAUGGGGGUGGGGGAAAAAUAAAUAAAUCUUUAAAAAAAUAAAAAAGACUAAAGACUUUCCUUUAAACAGAAAAAAGCCAGCGGCCUGAGACGGAGAAAAGCAGAGCAGAGGAGGAACUGCUCCCAAUGGCGGGCCUGGCCGGGGGCCCAGAGUGGCCGUGCCCUCGCCCACCUGCCCUGAGCCUCAGCCUCCCAGCUGCCUGCUCUGUGGAUGGCCAGUUCUGAAUUUCCUUUCUGGAAAGUGACGCAUCUGGACAACGCAGCAAACACUCUUUGAUCCAGAUGUCUUUCUCAAAAACUGGGCGGAAGGCACGCCAAGCGUUUAGAAGGGCUGUGCAGACGCUGUGGGCGAGCGGUGGCGGAGCGGCUGGCUGGCGGGGAGGGA